CUCUAGAUGGCAAUAGGCUGUCUUGCCUGAACUUUGUCAAGCUGGAACGCACGAUGAUUUGGAACGCGGAAGUACAGGAAGGUAAUCACUUCCCGUUCCGGCUGCAUGGAAAUGCACCAAAUUUGAUCGGCAAGAAAAUUAGAUGACUACUUUGACCUGAUUAGGUACCACACUUACACCAAUGGGAUUCCAGGACGGGCAGAUACACCCAUGAAUCAAUCCAAUCAACAAAGGGAUUAGCCCUAUUUAUAGAGACUCAUAAGGGGGG